rnacentral:lncRNA from 1 species
AGCAGCAGUUGCAUGAUUGUAAGGGCCCCGGCGGCUUUCCUCUUGGCUGUCUUUGCGGAAGCUUCUUUGUCGCUGCCGCGGCGCGGAAGACGCUGACGGCGGCAACUGGCCACCUGUGGGAGCUUAGAUCUACCUCACGAGAGCAGAGCUACCAUCACGACCGUUACCACUACCAUUAUUACCUAACGCCCAAGACGCCACGCCCUUACAUCAACAACACACACACUCACACUCACACUCACACUCACACACCAGUAAAGCUAGGGUGUACUUCUAAUCGUACUACUAUUGCGACCAUCGUGAUCGCAGCUGGCCAUCGCGGCAACCGCCAUCCAUCACUGCCUGCCUCUCCUAGACCGGAGUUGGCGGGUCGCUGCAGAGGAUGCUGUUGACGUUGCUGUCACUCCCUGGAAAAGUGGCACCACGCUCUGUCGUAAUCUCCGUACAGAUUGUACGGUAUGACGGAAUCUCAGACAGGUGGCUCCGGAGGAGUUGCGUCGAUGUCUACCGACGCUGCAGAUGACGUAUACGGCCGUACGGCGGCUGACGGAUCCAGUACGACGGCUGAGCUGCUUGGAGUAGCGGCCGCCGUUGCCAGGAAUGAAAGGGAUCAAGGCACGGAGACUUGGUCGUACAAGGUUGCACGGCAGGUUUCGGGGAUGUUGGCGGCGGGUGAAUGGGCGCGAUGUGAGGCGAUGUUAGAGCAGAUCUUGUUCCCUGCGACAGUGGCCGCCGAUGCCGCUGCCGCGG